rnacentral:rRNA from 1 species
GGAAUAUUGCACAAUGGGGGAAACCCUGAUGCAGCGACGCCGCGUGAGUGAUGAAGUAUUUCGGUAUGUAAAGCUCUAUCAGCAGGGAAGAUAAUGACGGUACCUGACUAAGAAGCACCGGCUAAAUACGUGCCAGCAGCCGCGGUAAUACGUAUGGUGCAAGCGUUAUCCGGAUUUACUGGGUGUAAAGGGUGCGUAGGUGGUGCAGCAAGUCAGAAGUGAAAACUCCGGGCUCAACCCGGAGACUGCUUUUGAAACUGCCGCACUGGAGUGCAGGAGAGGAAAGCGGAAUUCCUAGUGUAGCGGUGAAAUGCGUAGAUAUUAGGAGGAACACCAGUGGCGAAGGCGGCUUUCUGGACUGUUACUGACACUGAGGCACGAAAGCGUGGGGAGCAAACA